rnacentral:rRNA from 1 species
CAGUAGCCGCGGUAAUACAGAGGGUGCGAGCGUUAAUCGGAUUUACUGGGCGUAAAGCGUGCGUAGGCGGCUUUUUAAGUCGGAUGUGAAAUCCCUGAGCUUAACUUAGGAAUUGCAUUCGAUACUGGGAAGCUAGAGUAUGGGAGAGGAUGGUAGAAUUCCAGGUGUAGCGGUGAAAUGCGUAGAGAUCUGGAGGAAUACCGAUGGCGAAGGCAGCCAUCUGGCCUAAUACUGGCGCUGAGGUACGAAAGCAUGGGGAGCAAACAGGAUUAGAUACCCCAGUAGUCCUGUCUCUUAUACA